UACAGAGGUGGCAAGCGUUGUUCGGAAUUACUGGGCGUAAAGGGCGCGUAGGCGGUUCUGUAAGUCCCGCGUGAAAUCCCCCGGCUCAACUGGGGAACUGCGUGGGAAACUGUGGGGCUAGAGUUCAGGAGAGGGAAGCGGAAUUCCGGGUGUAGCGGUGAAAUGCGUAGAUAUCUGGAGGAACACCGGUGGCGAAGGCGGCAUCCUGGACCAAUACUGACGCUGAGGAGCGAAAGCCAGGGGAGCAAACGGG
rnacentral:rRNA from 1 species